UUUCUUUGCAGGAUUCGAACUUUCGACUGCCAGAUUGGUAGUCGAACGCUCUACCUACUGAGCCAUUCAGCA